AGUGUCAAGGGAUGGGAAUCGAACCCACGACUUUUACCGCUUACCGCUUACCGGGCAGAUGCCAUGACCACUAGGCCACAUGACC